rnacentral:rRNA from 1 species
GACGAACGCUGGCGGCGUGCUUAACACAUGCAAGUCGAACGGAAAGGCCAUGCGUUUGUUGGGUGCUCGAGUGGCGAACGGGUGAGUAACACGUGUGUAACCUGCCCUUGACUUUGGGAUAACAUCAGGAAACUGGGGCGAAUACCGGAUAGGAGCUCCUGCUGCGUGGUGGGGGUUGGAAAGUGUCGGCGGUGUGGGAUGGACUGGCGGCUUAUCAGCUUGUUGGUGGGGUAGGGGAUUACGAAGGCUUUGAAGGGUAGCCGGCCUGGGAGCGUGGCCGGCCUCCUGGGGACUGCGGUACGGACCAGACUGCUACGGGAGGCAGCAGUGGGGAGCCUUGCAGAAUGGGGGGACGUCUGAUGCAGCAGUGCUCCGUUCGGAAUGACGGCUUACGGGGUGUAAACCGCUGUGGCCGGUGACGAAGCGUGCGUGACGGUAAUGGGUAAAGAAGCACCGGCUAACUACGUG